CUUCUCCCACCCCUAUCCAACCACUAGGUUUAAUGUGCUGAAUGUUUACUAGAGUAUUAGUAAUAAGAGGACGCCAGUCUCUGUAAACUGUGAACUCUUAAUAAAAAGAUAGCUCUUUAGUUUCUAUUAAAGAAGAAAACCUACAAGCCCAACAUGCCCAAGAGGAAGGGAGCUGAUGGAGAUGUCAAGGAGGAGGUUAGUCACACACACUUGAAUAUAACCAUUGUGGAGUUGGCUACAGGUGGUACUUCACAUGAUCAGUAGUGAUCUCUGGUGAUUUUAUCACAUUAUUUGCUAUUUUAAACCUGCAUGGAUCAUGCAUUCUUGAAAUAGGUUAGUAUUCAUUGUCUGCAUUAUGAAGAUAAAUAAAGCAUCAUCAUUUAGUUCCUUAUGAAAUGUUGUCGUGCAUCUUUGAAUGUUAUUUUUUUCUCGCCAUAAAUUAGCCUUCGAGGAGAUCUGCACGGUUGUCAUCGGUGAGUACAUCUUGUUUUUUAAAGCAGGGCGGUUCAAUUACAGAUCUGUAUAUAACGAAAAGUUGUUUACCUGGCAGGUUUGUUUCUAUGGGUUUAAUCUUUAAACCCAUAGAAACACAUCAGGCUUAUUCUGGACUGAUUUUGUCCAGAACAUCCUGCUUCACUCUUCUCUGUUUCAACUCUGGUCCUGGAGGGCUGAAACUCUUUUGGUUUUUACCCUCUCCUUCUAAUAAGGGAUGGUUUCAGAUCUGGGACACCAGGUCAUUCAAAUUAAUUAUGUAUCAGUAGAAACAAAAAACAGAAGUGUUUUGGCAUUCCAGUUGCAGUGUUGAAUAGUCCUGCUCAAAAGGUCACAUUUGGACAUUUAAUAUUUUUCUGAUAUACGGCAUCCACACUUCAGGUGAAAAGAGGUUUUCAAGCUGAAACAUUUAGCAUCUAAAGUGCUUUUUUAAAUGAUUCUUGGUAAAGUGUCAAGCAAGGUCAUGCCUCCAUAUCUUGCCAUGCCCCCUGAAUUAAUGACAUUUAUUUUAUAAAGCCCUUUUUACAUAAGCAGUUGUCAAAAAGUGCUUUAACAGAUACACAGACAGAAACCCUAAUGAGAAGGCAACAUUUAUAUAUAAAAUUGGUUUGAAUGAAGUGAUGGCACCAAUUACUAAGUUUUUCUAUUGGAUGUUACAUAUUUACAAAACGUCUCCCACACGUCUGUUGAAAGUGUGUGAAUUAUUGUGUUCACUGAUUAGGACAUUUAUCAUUAUUUCUAUUUAAGUAGAAGACAGCGACAGGAGCUAUACUGCUUUAGGAAACUCAUCAGUCAUCAUUACUGGACCUGUCAUAUUCUCUAAAGCUAGUGUAAAGUCCAGUUGCACUAAUGAUAAUGUACCUUGAAAAAUGUUAUUUUUAUUGUUGACAGAAGUGUAUCCACAACAAAAACAACAUACAUUAACAUAUUUUGAUGGUAUUUUCAAUUACCUUGCCAGUCAAGGCAUCAUUGAUUUAUACUGGUGUUCCACCCCUUUUAAACAAAUUUGCAAAACAAACGUUUUAAGACAGUUUUCUUCAUUGCAAGUUCUUCUGUAUUUUUCAGAAACCAGCACCUCCAAAACCAGCACCAAAACCAAAAAAGCCAGCUAAAAAAGAAAAAGAGGUAAAUGACAAGAAGAAGGUGAAGGCAGCAGCAGCCGAGGAACCAAAAGAGGAGACCCAGUCAGAAAAUGGCGAGACCAAGACAGACGAAGUAGAGACUCCAGAGGAGGCAGACGAUAAGGAGGAAGAGAAGACUGACUAGCACCGAUCCCAUACAUUCAAACCCCUCAUUUGUAUGGCCCCCAAGUCUCAUGUGUUUUCCCAAAAACCUCCAUUACCUUAUUAACAGAGGAAUAUUUUUAUCAACAAUUUUGUAAUUAUUGGUGCAUGUUUUUAGCACAAAAUAAAGCUAAAUAUGGAGGAUUGUUCUGUUGUGCAGUGGUCAUAUCAAGUGUUUUAAGCAAACAUAAUUACAGUUUUGUUGUUAUAUCAGUGUUGGUACCAUGUUGGGAGUUCAGACAGGAAAGCUGGCUAAUUACAGGUGGUAUAGUAUCACAUUGUAGGUUUGCCAACUCAGAACAUUUCACUUUUGUAGGUGGAUGUAUUUUUACCCUUGAUAUGUGCAGUGUUAUUUCUUUGUGUGGGGGUGUUCUUGUUUUCAACUUGAUUGUCUGUAAGAGGAAUUUAAAUAUUUUGAAAAAUGUAAAACAUUCCAGGCUUAAUAAUGUUGUGGGCAUACCUGCUUUUGAAAAAAUCUUGUUCUGAAUUAUUUUGAUGACACAAAUUAUUUUAGCAGAGGAAGAAGCUUGCUGGAAGUGGCUUAUGCUUUUUGAAACAAAUGUUGGUAUUUUUUAACAGUGAAAAUUAAUCUAUUGAAAUAUGCAGCUAUCGUUUGUGUUCCCACUGAAGUUCUGGAUAUCUAAUUGGAAUUUAAUAAAAGUAAUUGGAAUUUUCCUCAUGAGGAUGCAC
ensembl:lncRNA